AACGAACGCUGGCGGCAUGCCUAACACAUGCAAGUCGAACGAGACCUUCGGGUCUAGUGGCGCACGGGUGCGUAACGCGUGGGAACCUGCCCUUAGGUUCGGAAUAACUCCCCGAAAGGGGUGCUAAUACCGGAUAAUGUCUUCGGACCAAAGAUUUAUCGCCUUUGGAUGGGCCCGCGUUGGUUUAGCUAGUUGGUAGGGUAAAAGCCUACCAAGGCGACGAUCCAUAGCUGGUCUGAGAGGAUGAUCCGCCACACUGGGACUGAGACACGGCCCAGACUCCUCCGGGAGGCAGCAGUGGGGAAUAUUGGACAAUGGGCGAAAGCCUGAUCCAGCACUGCCGCGUGAGUGAUGAAGGCCUUAGGGUUGUAAAGCUCUUUUACCCGGGAUGAUAAUGACAGUACCGGGAGAAUAAGCUCCGGCUAACUCCGUG
rnacentral:rRNA from 1 species